GGAGUUUGGACCGUGUCUCAGUUCCAAUGUGGGGGACCUUCCUCUCAGAACCCCUACUGAUCGUCGGUUUGGUGGGCCGUUGCCCCGCCAACUGCCUAAUCAGGCGCAUCCCCAUCCUUUCCCGAUAAAUCUUUCGUCCUCGUCUGAUGCCGUCGGAGGACACAUAGGGCAUUAGUCUUACUUUCGCAAGGUUAUUCCCUGGAAAAAGGCAGGUUGGAUACGUGUUACUCACCCGUGCGCCGGUCGACGCCUGAGAGAGCAAGCUCUCUCAUCGUUUCCCCUCGACUUGCAUGUGUUAAGCCUGUAGCUAGCGUUCAUCCUGAGCCAGAUCAAACUCU
rnacentral:rRNA from 1 species